rnacentral:rRNA from 1 species
GACGAACGCUGGCGGCGUGCCUAAUACAUGCAAGUAGAACGCUGAAGGAGGAGCUUGCUUCUCUGGAUGAGUUGCGAACGGGUGAGUAACGCGUAGGUAACCUGCCUGGUAGCGGGGGAUAACUAUUGGAAACGAUAGCUAAUACCGCAUAAUAGUAGAUGUUGCAUGACAUUUGCUUAAAAGGUGCAAUUGCUUCACUACCAGAUGGACCUGCGUUGUAUUAGCUAGUUGGUGGGGUAACGGCUCACCAAGGCGACGAUACAUAGCCGACCUGAGAGGGUGAUCGGCCACACUGGGACUGAGACACGGCCCAGACUCCUACGGGAGGCAGCAGUAGGGAAUCUUCGGCAAUGGACGGAAGUCUGACCGAGCAACGCCGCGUGAGUGAAGAAGGUUGUCGGAUCGUAAAGCUCUGUUGUAAGAGAAGAACGAGUGUGAGAGUGGAAAGUUCACACUGUGACGGUAGCUUACCAGAAAGGGACGGCUAACUACGUG